rnacentral:sRNA from 1 species
UUCACUAGUUAUGGACCUGGUGGGACUGACACAGUCUGUGGCCAUGGUCACUGGGGAAAACAUCAACAGUGUAGAGCCUGCACAACCCUUAAGUCCAAACCAGGGAAGAGUAGCUGUGGUUAUUAGACCUCCCCUCACUCAGGGCAAUCUGAGGUACAUAGCUGAGAAGACUGAAUUUUUCAAGCAUGUAGCUUUAACAUUGUGGGACCAGUUGGGAGAUGGGACACCUCAGCAUCACCAGAAGAGUGUGGAACUAUUUUAUCAAUUACAUAACUUAGUUCCUUCUUCUAGCAUCUGUGAGGAUGUUAUAAGUCAGCAGUUAACCCAUAAAGAUAAGAAAAUAAGGAUGGAAGCACAUGCCAAGUUUGCAGUUCUUUGGCAUCUAACGAGAGAUCUCCAUAUAAAUAAAUCUUCAUCUUUUGUACGUUCUUUUGACAGGUCAGUUACAUUUUAUAUUAAGAUUUUACAAUCAGAUAUCUUAAUGUUGCCUCUUCCCUUGAGUCUAGAUUGGCAAGUGUAGGAGAUAGCAAUUUACAAAUUUUAUAAAGAGAAUUUAUUAUUUUGAAAACCAUAAGCUGUAUUAAAAUGCAUGGCAUUUUUACUCAUCCACCAGGUUUUUACUUU